UACGAAGGGUGCAAGCGUUAAUCGGAAUUACUGGGCGUAAAGCGCGCGUAGGUGGUUCAGUAAGUUGGAAGUGAAAUCCCCGGGCUCAACCUGGGAACUGCUUUCAAAACUGCUGAGCUAGAGUACGGUAGAGGGUGGUGGAAUUUCCUGUGUAGCGAUGAAAUGCGUAGAUAUAGGAAGGAACACCAGUGGCGAAGGCGACCACCAGGACUGAUACUGACACUGAGGUGCGAAAGCGUGGGGAGCAAACAGG
rnacentral:rRNA from 1 species